UCUAUUGUUCAGCAUUGCUCCAUAAAUGCUAUUUGUAAUUAAACUUACUGAAAAAAUAGCAAAGAUUUAACAUGUAGAGAAGAAAAGAUAGUUGUUUUGUAUUCAUAUAAUCAGUAGUUCUUUACCCAGGCUUCAUAUCAGUCUUACCUGGUUUGCUCAAAAAAUAUAUACUUGGACUAGGAAACUUUAUUUUCCACCAAAAUAAACUGAAAAAACCCACCACUUUUUAAAGUAUCACAUAAAAAUGGCACUUCUCU
rnacentral:lncRNA from 1 species